rnacentral:rRNA from 1 species
CCUACGGGUGGCAGCAGUGGGGAAUAUUGCACAAUGGGGGAAACCCUGAUGCAGCCACGCCGCGUGAGUGAGGAAGUAUUUCGGUAUGUAAAGCUCUAUCAGCAGGGAAUAGAAAAGACGGUACCUGAAAAAGAAGCACCGGCUAACUACGUGCCAGCAGCCGCGGUACUACGCAGGGGGCACGCGUUAUCCGGAUGUACUGGGUGUAAAGGGAGCGUAGACGGAAAGGCAAGUCAGAAGUGAAAACCCAAGACUCAACCAUGGGACUGCUUUUGAAACUGUCGAACUAGAGUACGGGUGAGGUAGGAGGAAUUCGUGGUGUAGCGGUGAAAUGCGUAGAUAUUAGGAGGAACACC